GACGAACGCUGGCGGCGUGCCUAAUACAUGCAAGUCGAGCGCGGGAAGCUUGCGGAAUCUUUCGGGAGGAAGUGAGCGGACCGAGCGGCGGACGGGUGAGUAACACGUGGGCAACCUGCCCGUAAGACGGGGAUAACCCCGGGAAACCGGGGCUAAUACCGGAUAGGUGACCUUUCUGCAUGGAGGGGUCAUGAAAGGCGGCGGAAGCCGUCGCUUACGGAGGGGCCCGCGGCGCAUUAGCUAGUUGGUGAGGGAAGGGCUCACCAAGGCGACGAUGCGUAGCCGGCCUGAGAGGGUGAACGGCCACACUGGGACUGAGACACGGCCCAGACUCCUACGGGAGGCAGCAGUAGGGAAUCUUCCGCAAUGGACGGAAGUCUGACGGAGCAACGCCGCGUGAGUGAGGAAGGCCUUCGGGUCGUAAAGCUUCUGUUGUUCGUGAAAGAAAGGGGUUGGCCCAGGAAAAUGGGCCCGACCAU
rnacentral:rRNA from 1 species